GUAUCCCAUAUCUGUAUGCAUAAACAACAAGGCUCAGAACAAAACCACUUAGUUUCCAAUUACUGGGCAUUCCACCCAAGUAUGAAAAUGAGUUGCAGUACAGAUAUGCUUAACAAAAAUUUUAUAAUGUUGCAAUUUUGUGGUAUGCGGAUAACUUGUUAACAUUACUCCAUUGUGAAUAAUGAAGAAAUUAUCUAGUCUUCAACCUUGCACUUCAAUUUUUACAGCUAUCUUUGUUGGUUCAACCUAAAUACAGCAAAACAAUAAUAAUAAUCAGUCUGUUUGCAGUACUUCUGACUUCUCUGUUGUCCUCUUCAUCUUAAAAUGGUAUCUUAAUUUGCUACAUUAUAUAGUCACUUUUAGAACCAUGCAACUAACAGCUUGGACCAACUUCCAAAAUAAUUUCAUUUCAGCAAUUGCAUCAAACUGGACAAUUUGGUCCGUUCUUCAAGGCAUAACCAAGAGUCCAAUAUAGCCAACUGACAAUUGUAUUGUUCUUGAAUUAUUUUAUGCUUCAAGAUAUUUUACUUGAUACCCAACAUAUAAUUCU
rnacentral:misc_RNA from 1 species